UACGUAGGGGGGCUAGCGUUGUCCGGAAUCAUUGGGCGUAAAGCGCGUGUAGGCGGUCCGGUAAGUCCGCUGUGAAAGUCGGGGGCUCAACCCUCGGAUGCCGGUGGAUACUGUCGGGCUUGAGUGCGGAAGAGGCGAGUGGAAUUCCUGGUGUAGCGGUGAAAUGCGCAGAUAUCAGGAGGAACACCAAUUGCGAAGGCAGCUCGCUGGGACGUUACUGACGCUGAGACGCGAAAGCGUGGGGAGCAAACAGG
rnacentral:rRNA from 1 species